rnacentral:telomerase_RNA from 1 species
AACUCCGGGGGUGUGGGGCUGGGAGUUUCCCGUGGCCUAUUAAACCCUAAACCUCCUUGAAAAAGGGAUUAAAUGUGGGGGUCUUUGCCCGGUGUUUCCCCCGUGUAAAAAAGAAACGUCGAUGCACUGCGCGGGUAAAUUCCCAUGUUGACCAAAUUGCCCCUCGAGAGGUUUGUAGGUGGUGCUGCCUGCAUCUGACAGGUGUCUUGUGGCUACUGGUUGUCCUCACCUCUCGAGCACCCCCACUUUUUU